GCCCAGCACAAAAAGAUGGCCCCUCCUCCAGCGAGCUGCCAAUCUAAGGAUAAGACAAGAGAUGACAGUUGGAUACAGCCAGACGAGGGAGCAGAAGUUCUAGAUCUCACUCUGGCCUCUCGGAGACAGCGUACAGAUUCAUCUACACAUUGUCCUGGAGGCCAGCAAGGACGAUUAGAUCAUCUAGCAUAACACGGGCCAGAGAAUCCCGCCCCAGCAAUUGGUGCAAUGGAGUGAGUUCCCUUCCCUACUAUGAGUGUGAGUGAAAUCCUACCCCCAUUGAGUUUUUAGCGACACUGCACGAGUCAGCAGCGCAAACACUCAGUGGGUCAGACCCUCCACUGGUGCCAAUGGCUGUAAGCCAAUCAACACCACCUGAAGAUCUGGCUCAGCAUUUCCCUGACAAUGGAGGAGGGCACUAGGACCCUGCAUGGAAUGUGAAAGAACCAAAAUCUGUCUAGGAGGCAAGCUGGGGUGGAUUGCUGUUACAAAUUUCUCUCCACCCAGUGUGAUUGCAUCAUGUGACUGCUCCAAGCUCUAAAGUUCCCUGCUGGAAGCUGAAGAUAACUAUUGGGUUUUAGGAUUUUCAAGCCAUGGGCCCCAGUCCUCCGGUAGAUUUCAUCCUCCAGCCCCCAGUUUUCCACCCGGUGCUCCCGUACAUCACGACGAUCUUCGGUGGCUUGACCCAUGGAAAGAUGGUUCUGGUGCAGGGCAUGGUCCUUGCAGAGGCCGAAAGGUUCCAGGUGGAUUUCCAGUGUGGCUGCAGUCUGAUGCCCCGGCCAGACAUUGCCAUCCACUUCAACCCCCGCUUCCACUCCCGGCCCCACGUAAUCUGCAACACCCUGCAGAACGGGCGCUGGCUGGAGGAGACCAAGUUCCCCCACCUCCCCCUCAAGAGGGGAGAGGCCUUCCAGCUGCUCUUCCUCUUUGGGCAGGAUGAGGUACAGGUGAGCGUGAAUGGGCAGCACUUCCUCCAGUAUCACUCCCGCCUGCCCCUGGCCCGAGUGGACACCUUGGGCGUGUUUGGUGACAUCAUGGUGAAGAGCAUGGCCUUCCUACGCAGCAAUCCCUUUGACGCCAGCCGAACUGAGUACCCUGUUGCUCAUCCAAUGCAGCUAAACAGCUCCAAGCUGGCUGUGCCAUACUGUCACCCGCUCCCCUGUGGCCUUGCAUCAAGAGAUACCAUUACAGUGAGAGGACUGGUUUGCCCAGUGCCAGAGGAAUUCAGCCUCAGCCUGAGGGAAGACCCGUCCCAUGUGCCCCUAAGACUCAGAGCCUGCUUCAGAACCAGAGCCCUGAUGUGGAGCUCCUUCCCAGAUGAGGCCCUGAGCCAUGCAGAGAAAGUGGCAGCCUGCUUCCCCUUUCAUCCCCAGCGCUUCUUUGAGCUCCUCCAUGAUCAGCUUGAUGUCCUCGUUCUGGCGACGGCAAUGGUUCUUCAGCUUCUCCGCCUCGGCCAACAGGGUCUCUACUGUCUUCACCACUGACUCAGUCUGCUCCCUGGACAUGGCUGGGGCAGGAAGAAAAGGCAUCAUGUGAGCUCUGUUUCCUGGUCAGACUACAUAUCCCAUGAUGCACCAGGAUCUCCCCUUAUGGUUCCCACUGUCCAGUAGAUGGUGUUGGGAGCAGGAGCAGCUAUCCCAGACGCAUGAAAGUGACACUUCUUCCGAUCAUCCUGCUGUAUCUCGGAGCUAGCUGGCAUGCCCAGAAAACCAGGCCUCUUCAGGAUAAUGCUAAAUCCUCAUCCUCCAUUCCUGACCCUGCCUGUGAAUGAAGAUACAACCUGUUGGAAAUAGCUCCCACCCCACGCCAGAGGGCUGCUAACAGGGAUCAUGCUAAGUGGAUUUGUGGCUACCAUGUUUUGUGCUAAUUUGAUGGUCACUCUUUUGGCAGCACCCCAGGGAUCAAACCAGGGACUUACAGAGCCAAAAGCACGAGCUAGUACAGCUUAAGCUAAAGAGUCGAAGCUCCACAACUGUAGCCUGUAACAGCUCAGUGAAUCAGCACAGAAGGGAGACCCUGGCCCACGCUUGCCAGAGGGUUACACUAGCUCCGUGUGCGACGUAUUAUGCACAUGAUUCAAUGCCGUGGUUUCCAAACUGUGGGUUGCGGAACGGAAGGCACUGGGUCGCGGCGGCUCUGGUCAGCCCCGCCAACCAGGCCGAUAAAAGUCCCAUUGGCAGUGCUGCCUGGCUGAGGCAGGCUAGUCCCUAUCUGUUCUGACACCGUGCUGCGCCCCAGAAGCAGCAGGUCUGGCUCCUUAGGCGGGUGGGGGGGCCACAGAUCUCCAUGCGCUGCCCCUGGGCCCCCUCAGGCCCCACCCUCUGGUCAGGUCCAAGGUGGGAAGGCAGAGGCAGGCAGUGCGGGGCAGCUGCUCCUCUGGCUCGUGGUGCCAUGAAGCAGGCAGCCGUGAAGCUCCCCUGUCUCUGUGACUGCUCCUCAACUCCCAGUCUCCUUAGACACUUCACGCAGCCGGUAAGAGUUGCCCUGGUUAUGGGGACCCAGCUCUGGGGUGUCAGAGCACUCCGGGGGAAGCCCUCCCUGCACACAGCCCCUAGCUACCCCUCUACCUGCAUCCUGAGCUUAUCCUCUGCCUGAGUGGUUUUCAAAUUUUUGAUCUGAAUCCCCCCUUUGAGUUAUAUAUAUAUAUAAAUUUUGGUUAAAUCCCCCCACAACCCAGUAGGCUGGGUGAGCUGCUGAGGUGAGUCAGGGGGCGGAGGUGGUACUCACUCCCUGGACCCCACUGUGUGGAGCUGACCUAAGCCCUGCCAGCCCUUGCCCCCACCAAUAGAAGUCAAAGUACACCUCCCCCAGCCCUGGAGUUUUUAUAGCAUGUUGUGGGGGGCCUCAGAAAGAAAAAGGUUCAGAAACCCUGGGCCAGGGCUUCCCCACACUGGCCCCUGCACAUCUCCAAGUAACUGAGGAGUCACUGAUGGCUCCAGGAAUGCUCACUUGUAGUAGCCCUGCUGGGGGGUAGCCAGUUCCCCCCGCAGGCACCCAAGGGAUGGACAUUCAAAGGCUGACAUGAGAGCAGACUUGGGCCCUGUAGGGUAAUUUGUAAUAGAUCAUUGAUGCACGGACCCCUUUUAAGGUAAGUUCUCAAAGCACUGCAAUAACACAGACCCGCUCCCCUCCCAGAGCUGGGAACAGAACUGUGCACUCCUGAUUCCCAGUCUCCCAGGCAGUAACCACUGAACCCCACUCCCCUGUAAGAGGUGGGAAUAGAAGUCCAGCAUCCUGAUUUCCAGAGCCUCCUAGAUCCCACUUCCCUCCCAGAGGCAGGGGUAGACCCCAUGAGUCCUGCCUCCCAACCCCCUGCUGCUCUAACCGCUAGACCCCACUCCCCUUUCAAAGCUGGGGUAGCAGCAGGAGAUGCAGGGAAUGGCUGGUAGGAGGUGUUGAUACUCAGUUAACUGCAGCUGUGUGUUUAAACGCAUGUCAGGUGCCCAUUUGUGUAUGAAGGUCUGUCUGUGGGUAUGGGAUGUGCUGGGGCGUGUGUGUGGGGGGGGGAGCAUACAUUGAUGUGCUACUAGCAAAAGGGUGUGAGUGUAUUAUAUGGGGUGGGGGGUGAAGGGCUGUGUGUAACGUGUUGGUGUGUGUCUAAUCUGUUGGGGUGCUAGUGUGUAUAUGGUGGGUUGUGUAAUUGUGCAUUUGUGUGGGGAACGGAGUGAGUGUGUAUUUGCGUGCUCUGUAGAUUGGGGA